GCGCCAGCGCCGGCGGAGGUGCUGCCCGCGAAACAUCCCGGGACACGCCGCGGAGCCGGGCGCGCAGCUUUCCUCAGAGGUAUGAUGGAUGCAGGAACACAAAAGGAUUGACAAGCAAGGAGAAGAUUCAGGCUCACUUUUCUUGCUGUCAGCUGCCACGGCAGACAUACCUUCUCAAUCGAAAGAAGGCUGUGAAGGCUGCUCUCUUCUGCUGCCAGAGAGUCUCCCUCAGAGACUCUUCAGAUCUCUGGAGUCCUCUAUGUAGUAUCUCAUGGUUUUGUAUCAAGCCUAUCACAGAACGUCGCUGACCUUAAUAUGUCAGGUGUCUUAACAUUAUCUCUUUUGUAAGGAAUUCUGCAUUCCUUUGCAUUCCUUCCUUGUGCUUCUCUGCACAAGAACUAAAACCAUAACUUCAUACGUACUAUUUUUCUCACCCCGCUUUCACUGU